GUGAAUCAUCGAAUCUUUGAACGCACAUUGCGCCCGCCAGUAUUCUGGCGGGCAUGCCUGUCUGAGCGUCGUUUCGACCCUCGCGCCCGGCUUCUGUCGGGGGCGGUGUUGGGGAUCGGCCACACCCUUUACUGGGCGGCCGUCCCCUAAAUCCAGUGGCGACCACGCUGUAGCCUCCCCUGCGUAGUACUAAAACCACCUCGCAGGCGGAGAGCGGUGCGGCCCGCCGUAAAACCCCCAACUUUUACAAGGUCGACCUCAGAUCAGGUAGGAAUACCCGCUGAACUUAAGCAUAUCAAUAAGCGGAGGA
rnacentral:misc_RNA from 1 species